rnacentral:rRNA from 1 species
UCGAGGAUCUUCGGCAAUGGGCGAAAGCCUGACCGAGCGAUGCCGCGUGUGCGAUGAAGGCCUUCGGGUUGUAAAGCACUGUCGUGGGGGAGAAAGUCCCGCAAGGGAUCGAUCGACCUCAGGAGGAAGCUCGGGCUAAGUUCGUGCCAGCAGCCGCGGUAAGACGAACCGAGCGAACGUUAUUCGGAAUCACUGGGCUUAAAGGGCGCGUAGGCGGGCCAUCAAGUCAGGGGUGAAAGCCCCCAGCUCAACUGGGGAAGUGCCUUUGAUACUGGUGGCCUCGAGCGAGGUAGGGGCGUGCGGAACUUCCGGUGGAGCGGUGAAAUGCGUAGAUAUCGGAAGGAACAUCGGUGGCGAAAGCGGCGCGCUGGACCUCUUCUGACGCUGAGGCGCGAAAGCCAGGGGAGCGAACGGGAUUAGAUACCCCUGUAGUCC